GAAGCCUGAAUUCGGCAGGAUCCAGCAAGCCAGGAAGGAGGCUGGCAGAGCUCCCUGCAGCAGACCAGACCAUCUAGCACAGCUUUUGCAAGCAGGCAAGGAACAGCACCCCCACAAGUCACAAGGCAUGGCUGUAUCUGAGAAAACAAGAUCACAACAAACUGAAUUUCAUUAAUUUCCAGAUGGUAAUCUCUAGUUACCAGUGAAUUUCUCCAAAUGUGGGUGAAGGACUUAGGAAACUUGUAAAAGUCUGCCCUUAAAGAGUGGUGAAUGUCUGAAGCUCCAAAAGUUAAGAACAUGGAAUCUUAGAUGCAAAAAGGACUUGGAAGUCUUCUUGUCUGACACCUUGCUCAGUGCAAGAAAAGCACUGCUCUGCUCUCCUCUGAUAUCUAAUCAAUUGUAAAUAUUUGUAAAUGUGUUGUGGGGAGUUGGUCAGACUGCCGUUUCUUUCUGGAAUGUACACACAAAUCAGCCCAGUUCCAGGCAGAGGGAAAUGACUCAGCUCUGAUCCAUGAAGUUGUAUUGUUGAGAUCUUGCCCAAUUCGAAUUGGCUUUUCACAAUCUCUGUCUCUCACAAUGGCAUGUCAACAACUGGCCCACAUCACUAAGGUCAUGACUACCUUUUCCUCAGUACUGAAUGGCAUGACCUGCUGUCAGGCCUCUCCAUCCACUCAGGAUGAGACCAUGGAGGAGGAGGAAGAUUGGGUGCAUGACCCUGAACUACAGCCCUGUCCAGAGGAUCUCAGAGACCUCCACUCAGCCCUCCUUUGAAAGGUCAGAAGACACUGCAUUCCCACAGAGGAAACAGAGCCAACACAGCUUUGCUGGAACCAGCAGAUGAGGUCCCUUGAAAGAGUCUGAAACCUUGCUUUGGGGGUGAGGUUAUGUUCCAUUAAACAAGGGCUACACUGAUAAAAGCUGGCAGUCUGCUCCAGGUCCUUCCUGGAGCAACAGCUCAUGUGGAUCUCUCCUUGGGUCUGCUUCUCUAGCCUGUCCUCUGUUUUCCAGCCCUGACUGGUUUGACCUCAGCCUGCCAGACUCUGCUUUGCUAAACCUUCUAUACCCAUUGCUCACAGGCUUGACCCUGGCCUGCCUGAUUGUAUUUUGCCUAGCCCUCUGUACCUGCUUGCCACAGGUGAGACCAUGGACUGUCUGCCUGGCUUCCACUGCGCUCUCUUGUAUGACUAGUGCCACCUACUUGUCUCCUGGCAGAAGUGAUCAGAUGAGUGCUGGUAUGGACCACAGCACUAUUGAAGGAUGCUACUCUAGAUGCUGGGAGAUUCAUGUUAGAGAUCCCGUUUUAGUCAGAACCUUUCUGCCAUUAUUCCUGCUUCUUUGUUAUCUUGAAAAUCAUGUGCUUGAGCAUAAUGCAGGGUAAUAGUCAGACUUCUAAGUCCUGGAUAUGGACUUGGAAAUGAACUCUUGACUCUUAAAGAAUUCUGUAACUAUGGAAUGAUAUACACAAUUCCUAUCUGGUAGAGAAUUUUAUUUGUAUGUACAGUACAUAUGUAUUUUCAAGUAGGGGUGUGCACAAAUCGAUUUUUUAAAUUCAAUUUGUUCCCAAAACAAAUCACCCCUGAUUUGUUUUGUAUUCAAAUCAACCCCCACCAAAUCACCCCGAUUCAAUUUGUAUUUUUGAUUCAAUUUGGAUUCGGACUGAUUCGGACCACUUAUCAAGGUCCUAGGUGCACCAAAUUUGGGUGGUGGGUAGGUACCCAUGGGUGCCAUCUGCCAUCCAAAUUUCAAGGCAGUGAGCCAUUUGGUUGAUUUUAAUGAUCUUUUAUAGUUUGUACUGAUUUUGAACAUUUCCGCCAUAGGAAACAAUGGGGAUUCAAAAUUACCAUAUCCUAACCCUAAAACAGAUCCCCAGCU